AUGUCCGGCCGCGGCAAGGGCGGGAAGGGGCUGGGCAAGGGCGGCGCCAAGCGCCACCGGAAGGUGCUGCGGGACAACAUCCAGGGCAUCACCAAGCCGGCCAUCCGGCGGCUGGCUCGCCGUGGCGGCGUGAAGCGCAUCUCGGGGCUCAUCUACGAGGAGACCCGCGGCGUGCUCAAGAUCUUCCUCGAGAACGNCAUCCGCGACGCCGUCACCUACACUGAGCACGCCCGCCGCAAGACCGUCACCGCCAUGGACGUCGUCUACGCGCUCAAGCGACAGGGCCGCACCCUCUACGGAUUCGGCGGCUGA
rnacentral:rRNA from 1 species